rnacentral:tRNA from 1 species
GGCGCUUUAGCUCAGCUGGCUAGAGCAACCGGUUCAUACCCGGUAGGUCGUGUGUUCGAAUCACACAGGCGCUACCA